rnacentral:rRNA from 1 species
UACGUAGGGUGCAAGCGUUAAUCGGAAUUACUGGGCGUAAAGCGUGCGCAGGCGGUUAUGUAAGACAGUUGUGAAAUCCCCGGGCUCAACCUGGGAACUGCAUCUGUGACUGCAUAGCUAGAGUACGGUAGAGGGGGAUGGAAUUCCGCGUGUAGCAGUGAAAUGCGUAGAUAUGCGGAGGAACACCGAUGGCGAAGGCAACUCCCCUGGACCUGUACUGACGCUCAUGACACGAA